rnacentral:rRNA from 1 species
AAUAGAUACCCCGGUAGUCCACGCCGUAAACGAUGAGUGCUAAGUGUUAGGGGGUUUCCGCCCCUUAGUGCUGCAGCUAACGCAUUAAGCACUCCGCCUGGGGAGUACGACCGCAAGGUUGAAACUCAAAGGAAUUGACGGGGGCCCGCACAAGCGGUGGAGCAUGUGGUUUAAUUCGAAGCAACGCGAAGAACCUUACCAGGUCUUGACAUCCCAAUGACCGCUCUAGAGAUAGAGUUUUCCCUUCGGGGACAUUGGUGACAGGUGGUGCAUGGUUGUCGUCAGCUCGUGUCGUGAGAUGUUGGGUUAAGUCCCGCAACGAGCGCAACCCUUAUUCUUAGUUGCCAUCAUUUAGUUGGGCACUCUAAGGAGACUGCCGGUGACAAACCGGAGGAAGGUGGGGAUGACGUCAAAUCAUCAUGCCCCUUAUGACCUGGGCUACACACGUGCUACAAUGGACGGUACAAAGAGCUGCGAGCCCGCGAGGGUAAGCCAAUCUCAUAAAACCGUUCUCAGUUCGGAUUGUAGUCUGCAACUCGACUA